AGAACGAACGCUGGCGGCAUGCCUAACACAUGCAAGUCGAACGUGAUCCAGGCUUCGGCCUGGUGAAAGUGGCAGACGGGUGAGUAACGCGUGGGAACCUGCCCUGUGGUAGGGAAUAACCGUGGGAAACUGCGGCUAAUACCCUAUGAGUCCUUCGGGAGAAAGAUUUAUCGCGACAGGAGGGGCCCGCGUCGGAUUAGCUAGUUGGCGGGGUAACGGCCCACCAAGGCUGUGAUCCGUAGCUGGUCUGAGAGGAUGAUCAGCCACACUGGGACUGAGACACGGCCCAGACUCCUACGGGAGGCAGCAGUGGGGAAUAUUGGACAAUGGGCGCAAGCCUGAUCCAGCAAUGCCGCGUGAGUGAUGAAGGCCUUAGGGUUGUAAAGCUCUUUCGCCCGCGACGAUGAUGACGGUAGCGGGAGAAGAAGCCCCGGCUAACUUCGUGCCAGCAGCCGC
rnacentral:rRNA from 1 species